CCAAAGUAAUAAGGGCAUACGGUGGAUGCCUAGCCAGCUGGAAGCGAAGAAGGACGUGGUAAGCUGCGAAAAGCUGUGGGGAGCUGCAAACGAGCGAAGAUCCACAGAUAUCCGAAUGGGGAAACCUGCCGAAAGGCAUCCUGGAGACAGGAGGCGAAGCUGGGGAAGUGAAACAUCAUAGUACCCGGUGAAAAGAAAUCAAACGAGAUUCCCGGAGUAGCGGCGAGCGAAAGGGGAAGAGCCCAAACAGUAGCGAUGUAAAAGCGGGCAGGCGUUGUUGCUACUGGGUUGAGGGUAACAGCUACCCGAACUGCCAGAUAGGGGGUUGGAUAUAUAUAAGAAGUGGAAAGGCAUGGGAAGGCCUACCGGAGAAGGUGAAAGUCCUGUACACGUAAAUAUAUAUAUUCGACUGCUGUUAACCCGAGUAGCGUAGGACACGAGGAAUCCUGCGUGAAGCUGGGUGGACCUCCAUCCAAGGCUAAAGAGGACAGCUGAGCGAUAGUGGAGAAGUACCGUGAGGGAAAGGUGAAAAGGACCCCGGGAGGGGAGUGAAAGAGAACCUGAAACCGUAUGCCUACAGGAAGCGGGAGCGAAAGUGACCGCGUGCCUUUUGAUUAAUGAGCCUGCGAGUUAUUUUCGGUGGCGAGGUUAAGCCGGUAGGUGGAGCCGAAGGGAAACCGAGUAUGAAGAGUGCGACAGUCACCGGAAAUAGACCCGAAGCCAGGUGAGCUACCCAUGUGCAGGAUGAAGCUUGGGUAAAACCAAGUGGAGGUCCGAACUGGUGGAUAGUGAAAAAUCCUCAGAUGACAUGUGGGUAGGAGUGAAAAGCUAACCGAACCUGGGGAUAGCUGGUUCUCCCCGAAACGUGUGUAGGCACGGCCUCUGGAAAAGAGUUAUGGAGGUAGAGCACUGAAUGGUGUAGGGGGGUAGACCUCUGAAACCAAUCAAACUCCGAAUGCCAUAACUGGAUGCCAGGGAGAAAGACUAUGGGGAAUAAGCUUCAUGGUCGAGAGGGAAAGAGCCCAGACCGACAGCUAAGGUUCCGAAGAAGCGGCUAAGUGUGAAAGGAAGUGGACCUCUU
rnacentral:rRNA from 1 species